AACGAACGCUGGCGGCAGGCUUAACACAUGCAAGUCGAACGAGAUCUUCGGAUCUGGUGGCAGACGGGUGAGGAACACGUGGGAACAUCCCUUUCAGUUCGGAAUAACGUUGGGAAACUAACGCUAAUACCGGAUACGUCCUUCGGGAGAAAGAUUUAUCGCUGAAAGAUUGGCCCGCGUCUGAUUAGCUAGUUGGUGAGGUAACGGCUCACCAAGGCUACGAUCAGUAGCUGAUCUGAGAGGAUGAUCAGCCACAUUGGGACUGAGACACGGCCCAAACUCCUACGGGAGGCAGCAGUGGGGAAUAUUGGACAAUGGGCGCAAGCCUGAUCCAGCCAUGCCGCGUGAGCGAUGACGGCCUUCGGGUUGUAAAGCUCUUUUGUCCGGGAAGAUAAUGACUGUACCGGAAGAAUAAGCCCCGGCAAACUUCGUGCCAGCCGCCGCAGUAAGAC
rnacentral:rRNA from 1 species